rnacentral:sRNA from 1 species
AAAUCAUCACUGUUUUAUACCCUUUCUCAUCAUUCGUCAUCACUUUGUAUAUUUAGGAUAGGUUUGCAUGCAUGUUGCACAUUUGUGUUGAUUUCAGGUGAUUUGGAGCUGUUGACGAGCUAAUUGGAAGAAGCGGACCUGAUCAUGCCAAACCACUCGACCCUGAGGUCGAGUAGAAGCUUCAAGACCUCAACAGACCACUCGACCACCAAGUCGAGUAGAAGACAUCACCACUUCACCUCACCACUCGACUGCCUAGCCGAGUACCAUCAGGAGAGCCACUCGACCACAUCACUCGACCCCGAGGUCGAGUGUCUUCACCUCCACCACCUGAUAAUCACUCGACCACAUCACUCGACCACAUCACUCGACCCCGAGGCCGAGUAUCUUCACCUCCAUUACCAGAUCACCACUCGAUCACACCACUCUACCUGGAAGUCGAGUAUCACCAUCACCACCACUCGACUACAUACUCGAUUGCGAGCUUCAGAGUCUUCUUCAUUCCGCACUUAACUAGACACUCGAGCACAAGAAAGAAAAAAAGACUCCAGCUAUUCACUCGACCUCUCACUCGACCACCUGGGUCGAGUACAGUUCUUAAUCCGUCCCAAUGCUGCGUCGUUUUAAGUAUAGGGUUUCGGAAUAUUUUGCUAUA